GAUGAACGCUGGCGGCGUGCCUAAUACAUGCAAGUCGAGCGAACGGACGAGAAGCUUGCUUCUCUGAUGUUAGCGGCGGACGGGAGAGUAACACGUGGAUAACCUACCUAUAAGACUGGGAUAACUUCGGGAAACCGGAGCUAAUACCGGAUAAUAUUUUGAACCGCAUGGUUCAAAAGUGAAAGACGGUCUUGCUGUCACUUAUAGAUGGAUCCGCGCUGCAUUAGCUAGUUGGUAAGGUAACGGCUUACCAAGGCAACGAUGCAUAGCCGACCUGAGAGGGUGAUCGGCCACACUGGAACUGAGACACGGUCCAGACUCCUACGGGAGGCAGCAGUAUGGAAUGUUCCGCAAUGGGGGAAAGCCUGACGGAGCAACGCCGCGCGAGUGAUGAAGGCCUUCGGAUCGUAAAACUCUGUUAUUAGGGAAGAACAUAUGUGUAAGUAACUGUGCACAGCUUGACGGUACCUAAUCAGAAAGCCACGGCUAACUACGUG
rnacentral:rRNA from 1 species